rnacentral:rRNA from 1 species
UACGUAGGGGGCGAGCGUUGUCCGGAUUCAUUGGGCGUAAAGAGCUCGUAGACGGCUUGGCAAGUCGGGUGUGAAAACUCCAGGCUCAACCUGGAGAGGCCACCCGAUACUGCCAUGGCUAGAGUCCGGUAGGGGGGUCAUGGAAUUCCUGGUGUGAGCGGUGAAAUGCGCAGAUAUCAGGAGGAACACCGGUGGCGAAGGCGGUGGCCUGGGCCGGAACUGACGCUGGAGGAGCGAAAGCGUGGGGAGCAAACAGG